AGAGUUUGAUCCUGGCUCAGAACGUACGCUGGCGGCACGCCUAAUACAUGCAAGUCGAACGAAGUAGCAAUACUUAGUGGCAGACGGGUGAGUAACAUGUGGGUAUCUUCCCUUUGGCCUGGAAUAACACGAGGAAACUUGUGCUAAUACCGGAUAAGUCUUUACGGAGAAAGCUUUAUGCACCAUUGGAUGAGCCUGCACUUGAUUAGUUUGUUGGUGGGGUAAUGGCCUACCAAGACAAUGAUCAAUAGCUGAUUUGAGAGGAUGAUCAGCCACAUUGGGACUGAGACACGGCCCAAACUCCUACGGGAGGCAGCAGUAGGGAAUCUUGCACAAUGGAGGAAACUCUGAUGCAGCGAUGCCGCGUGAGUGAAGAAGGCCUUUGGGUUGUAAAGCUCUUUCGUCGGGGAAGAAAAUGACUGUACCCGAAUAAGAAGGUCCGGCUAACUUCGUGCCAGCAGCCGCGGUAAUACGAAGGGACCUAGCGUAGUUCGGAAUUACUGGGCUUAAAGAGUUCGUAGGUGGUUAAAAUAGUUGGUGGUGAAAUCCCAGAGCUUAACUCUGGAACUGCCAUCAAAACUUUUUAGCUAGAGUAUGAUAGAGGAAAGCAGAAUUUCUAGUGUAGAGGUGAAAUUCGUAGAUAUUAGAAAGAAUACCGAUUGCGAAGGCAGCUUUCUGGAUCAUUACUGACACUGAGGAACGAAAGCAUGGGUAGCGAAGAGGAUUAGAUACCCUCGUAGUCCAUGCCGUAAACGAUGUGUGUUAGACGUUGGAAAUUUAUUUUCAGUGUCGCAGCGAAAGCAAUAAACACACCGCCUGGGGAGUACGACCGCAAGGUUAAAACUCAAAUGAAUUGACGGGGACCCGCACAAGUAGUGGAGCAUGUGGUUUAAUUCGAAGAUACGCGCAGAACCUUACCAACACUUGACAUGUUCGUCGCGACUUGAAGAGAUUCAAGUUUUCGGUUCGGCCGGACGAAACACAGGUGCUGCAUGGCUGUCGUCAGCUCGUGUCGUGAGAUGUUGGGUUAAGUCCCGCAACGAGCGCAACCCUUACUUUUAGUUGCCAUCAUUUAGUUGGGCACUCUGAAAGAACUGCCAGUGAUAAGCUGGAGGAAGGUGGGGAUGACGUCAAGUCCUCAUGGCCCUUACGUGUUGGGCUACACACGUGCUACAAUGGCACUCACAAUAGGAAGCAAAGAGGUGACUCUAAGCAAAUCCUAAAAAAGUGCCUCAGUUCGGAUUGUACUCUGCAACUCGAGUACAUGAAGCUGGAAUUACUAGUAAUCGCGGAUCAGCGCGCCGCGGUGAAUACGUUCCCGGGUCUUGUACACACCGCCCGUCACACCAUGGAAGUUGGUUCUACCUUAAGGCAAAGCAUAAAACCUUUGACCACGGUAUAGUCAGCGACUGGGGUGAAGUCGUAACAAGGUAACC
rnacentral:rRNA from 1 species